UAUUUUUUUGGAAUACAAAAUAAUAGAAAAAAAAAACUUAAGAUGAGAGACAGUGUUGUAAGAGAGAGUGUGAGGUAAAGUCACGGUGUACUUGGCGGGUUAAAGUCACUGAAAUCCAACCCUAAUAGUCCAAACAAAUUUAAUAUGGUGGACUAUCAUGUAUAUGUUUGAUGAUGGGGUUGUACGAAAAAAACACUUUGAUGAUCGACCAUCUUACAUAGUUACGAAUAUGACCGUUGCUAAGGUUUUUUUUGGAGUGAAGGUCAUUGUGGCGGUGUGUAAUGCCCUUUUGGCAGUGCUCUUCUCUUUCUCUUUCACUGGUUCAUUUCAUUUAUCCCUUGUUUCUCAUUCUAGAUUCUAGGGUCUGAGAUGGAAUCCAUUCUUUUCCCUAAGACGGUUCUAGAUGCUACGCAUGGCAAAGAUAAGUCUUUAGCUAUAUAAAAACCUGCAAAAUCGUUUGUUGAAGCUCUUGGUAAUGUUUGUGACAUACCAACAAGUCAGUUACCGGUUCCAUGUGUAAAAAGAGACCGAAUAUCCAUUGCAAUUCCAGAAGAUGAAUACCUCCUUGGAGUAGAGGCAUGUAAACACAAUCUGCAUGGAAGAAUUUUAUGGCACAAGGGUUUUUCCCCGCUUACAGUCUUGUAGCUCAAAGCCAAGUUGAACACUUUGUGGAUUGAUAUAAAUACAUAGGGUGUUACCUCUCUAGGUAAAGGUUUCGUUGCUCAUGGUACCAGAUCCAUUGUCGGUACCACUAAAACUUCCUUAUGAAGUGCCUCUUUUGGAACAUAAGGGGGCUUGCCAAUUCCCCUUCCAAAUUGGCUCUUAAUAAUAUCAUUAAAGAUCAUAAUCUUGAUCUCUGUCUGAUUGCAGAACCGUGGAUGAAUCAUUAGAAUUUACCUUUUGCUUUUUUGGGAUAGGCUGAAUCUUAAACUUUUUGCAGCGAAUGAUAUAAAUUAGUUAAGCCCAAACCUUUGGUGCAUCUGUAAAAAAUCUUUAGUUCCCCAGCUUCAUUCUGCUUUUGAUCAGUAUGUUUCUUUCACCAUCAUUGUUGAUAACCACACACUUGAUUUUAUUGUCGUUUAUGCUUCCACUUGCAAUACAACGAGAAGAAGGCUUUGGUCUGAUCUAUAAGCUUUUUUCCCUCCAACAUCCCUUGGUGUUUCAUUAGAUAUUUUAACUCCAUCAUUGGCGCCCAUGAGGAUAAAGGUGUUAAUAAUCCUAACAUUUCUCAUAUGCGGGACUUUAUAGAAUGGACUGAACAAAACUUGUUGAUAGAUGUUCCUUCUAAGGGAGUCAAUUUCACUUGGUAUAAUGGCCGCAGUGAUCGUGCCUUUGUGGAACGAAAGCUGGAUAGGGAUUUUUGUAAUCAUGGUUGGAUCAUUCAUAGUCACACCUUAAUUGUUACUACUCUUCCUAAGUUGAGAUCAGAUCAUCAUCCUAUUAUUCUUGACUCUUCCUUCACCAUCCAUCUGUGCACCUAUCACUUCAGGUUUCUCUGUAUGUGGACGCAUCAUGAUAAUUUCAGGAGUUUAUUGCCAAAAUUUCGUCCACCCAUAUCAUUGGUUGCCAUAUGUUUAUUUUAUCUAAGAAGCUUCAAAUCCUUAAAGCUCAGCUCAAAGUCUCGAAUAAAGAUGUGUUUGGCGAGAUUCACUCCCUUAUUAAAAACCACAACGGUAAUCUCGAAAAAAUCCAGAAGCGUAUCAGUUCUGAUGGGCCUUCUGAAAAUAAUAGAGUGAUGGAGAAGAAGGCGCGGCUUGACUUAGAGAAAGUUCUCAUCCAAGAAGAGCUUUCUGGUCCGAAAAAGCCAACCUUUCUUAACAUUCUUGUGGUGAUAGGAAUACGUCUUUCUUCCACCGGAUGGCCAAGAUUAAAAGAUCCAGUAACAUUAUCACAUACCUAAAAGAUGGUGAUAGCAUUAUCACUAAUCAGGUUAGUCCUCAGAUUAUGGAUAACAAUAUGAAUCUCUUGCUGACUAUGGUUCCUUCCAAAGAUGAGAUUUGUAAUGUUGUCUUUGGCCUCAACAAGUACAACGCUCCUGGUCCCGACGGGUUUGGAGGUAUGUUCUUUCAUACUUAUUGGCAUAUUAUUGAAUUUGUUGUGUGCAAUGCUAUCCUGGAAGUUUUCACCAAAGAUUGGAUUUUGCCCAACUACAAUGUUAAUACCAUCAUCCUGAUUCCCAAGACCAAAGAUUCCCAUUCAGUGGACAUGUAUAAACCCAUUGCUCUAGCGAAUUUCAAGUUUAAAAUCAUCUCCAAAAUCAUAGCUGACAGGUUGGCUUCCAUUUUACCGAAUAUCAUUUCUAAGGAGCAAAGAGGUUUCAUUCACGAGAUAAACAUUAUGGAUUGUACUUGCUUAACAUUUGAAGCUAUCAACAAUAUGGACAACAACAACAAGCAUGGAAACUUGUCUCUUAAAGUGGAUAUUGAUAAGGCUUUCGAUACGAUAAAUUGGGAGUUUCUUCUUAAAGUUCUCAAAACUUUUGGAUUUUCUCAAAUUUUCUGCAAGUGGAUUAGUAUCAUCCUUAAUUAGGCCCAUCUUUCCAUUAAUCUUAAUGGUGUUCAUCAUGGCUAUUUCAAUUUAAAAUAGGUGUUCGUCAAGGGGAUUCCCUACCUCUCAUCCUGUUUCGUUUAGCGAAAGAUGUUUUUAGCAGAAACAUCACUAAGUUGGUUUAUGAUGGUGGUCUUAGUCUUAUCAAAGCUUCUAAGAAAAUUUUUGUUCCAUCUCACAUUUUCUAUGCUGAUGACAUUAUGAUCUUUUGCUCGGGUAAGAUGUCUAACAUCCGUGCUCUCAAGAAAUUUUUUGUUGAAGACUCUUCUGCUUCUGGCCAGACUGUUAACAUUGCAAAAUCUCAUGUUUAUUUCGGAUCCAUCUCGAACAGGAAGGUUAAUCGAAUCCUUGUCUCCACUAGUUUCAAUAGAGGUGUCCUUCCCUUUAAUUAUUUGGGAGUUCCAUUUUAAAAGGUCGUGUCAAAGCGUCUCAUCUCCUCCCCUUAACGGACAUAGUCCUGGCUAAAUUGUCUGUUUGGAAAGGCUUCCUUCUCUCUAUGGCAGGUCGAACCACUCUAGUUAAGUCUAGUGUCCAUAACAUGAUUAUGUAUUCCAUCAACAUUUAUUCUUGGUCGAUAUCUCUUCUCAAAAAGAUUGAAAAAGAUUGUAGAAAUUUUAUUUGGUGCAGUGACAUACAUAAGAAGGCUGGUAGGUUGAUUAAAUUCUGGAAAGAUUCCUAGUGUUGUCUUCCGCUUUUGAGCCACACUUCUCAGGAUUUGCUUCAUGAUAAAUACAUAAAUUCCAAUGUUAUGGCUGUUGAUCUAAUCUCUAAUGGGCAAUGGUCAUUUCCGCUUUGUUGGUAUGAUUGGUUCCCUUUCUUGGCUAAUAUGCUCCCUUUAGUUCCUGAUUUCCAUAUUUGUAAUAAGGACCUUAGGAUUUAGAAUGGCACUGUUACGGGUAUGCUUACCCUUAAGGAGGCUUUCUUAUUCAUUUCUUAUCCAUCUCCUUCUAUUGAUUAGGCUCAGAGCAUUUGGAAUGUCGAUAUUCAUCCCUAGAAAUCUAUUUUGGUUUGGAAGCUCAUGCACGACAAAAUUCCUACGGGUCAACUCAUCAUGAAAAGAGGAAUCUCUUUGGCUUCUUGUUGCUCUUUGUGUCUUAAGGAUAUGGAAAUCAAUGAUCAUUUCUUCUUUCAUUGUAGUUAUAAGACCCCAAUUUUGACCCUAAGAUCCCUCAUGCUAUCUCAUCAUAUGCAUUAGCAUUGGGAUCACACCUUGGCAUCCUUCUUACCCCUCAUCCAUUGGGUUUGCAUUAGGAGAGAUCACCAAGCAUCAUGUGAUUGUAUCAUACUUUGUAUUUUUAUCAUUUUACUAACCAAAAUACCAAAAAUAUGUCUUUGUAUAAACUAACUCUUUUGUAGGUAGGGCAUGUGCUCACCUUUGAUCUAUCAAGCUCACAUCUAGAGUUUAAGACCCUCAGUACAAGGAGAUCAAUCAAUAUUGGUUUACUAUGUCUCUAAGCAUCAUAUAUGAAUCCCCAUGGUCUUCAGAUGUUAUUUUGAUCAAGAAUUCAUCAAGAGUUUGGAGUUGGUUUGCCUUGGAAAGCCUAAUUCAUCUAGGUAUCUUGUGUAACUUCUUCAACAAGCUUCUUCUCCAAUUGAUCAAAGAUUUAAAGGGAUACUUCAAAUUUCAUCAUCUUAUGCAUAUAUUAUCCUCCAUGAGUCCUAAAUAUCAAUAGAAUUGCAAGUUAGCAAGUUGGUUAAUGGUGGUUGACCAGAGGAAUUCAUCUAAUCAAAACUGGGGUUCCCUAUACCCUAUCUCCUACAAUUUUUAUCAUAUGAAAAUGAUUCCAAAAGAAACGUUACUCUAAAUGAUAUUCCAAACAACUUUCAUGUUGAGGUCUAGAACUAGUUUUGUUUGGAAAGUCAUUUUUUAUGGUGAAAGAUUAUAGGUCAUUUUGUCUAAACCCUAAUUUGGAGGUCAACUUCCCAAGGCCAUAACUUGCUCAAUUUUUAUGAUAUGAAAGAUUCCCAAGUUGCACAAUUAAAUUCAAGAUUUAUAAUUCAACUUUUAUCUUUGGAGGAAGAGCUAAUUAAACUUUUAUGAGUAGGUGAUAUGAGGAUACAUUAUAGGUCAUUUUGGACCAAUGCCAUUGAAUAAGUGAUUUUCCUCAACUUCAAAAAUUCAUAAAUCCUUCAUAUUAAAUCCAAAUGAGGUCAAAUUUGUGACCAUUUUGAAUUAAUU